UACGGAGGGUGCGAGCGUUAAUCGGAAUUACUGGGCGUAAAGGGCGCGUAGGCGGUGGGUUACGUCUGCCGUGGAAUCCCCGGGCUCAACCUGGGAAUGGCGGUGGAAACGGGCUGACUGGAGUAUGGGGGAGGGUGAUGGAAUUCCAGGUGUAGAGGUGAAAUGCGUAGAGAUCUGGAGGAACACCAGUGGCGAAGGCGGGCUGCUGGCCCAAUACUGACGCUGAGGCGCGAAAGCGUGGGGAGCAAACAGG
rnacentral:rRNA from 1 species